ensembl:lncRNA
AUUGGUUCGCUUCAGGUUGUUCUGGUAUGAAAUAUUCAUGGUUCAUUUGCUGCGAUGGCGUGGAGGUUUUUGUACUCUCAUAUCGCCAUGGUCCGUCUGAGAGGACUAUUAUCGAUAUCACUGGAUUCAGGGUGAUCUCCUCAUGCGGUUUGAUAUGUUAUAUGUCUUCACUUAGCAUUGUAGGUCUGUUCCAGUUGUUCUCUACCGGACGCAGUUUCUGGACUAAUUUGCAGGAUAUUUAUUUUACCCUCACUGUAGUUGUUGAAGUUGUGUUUGGAGUUUUCUACAAUGGAUCACUGCAUAUUUUAGCCAAGACACUAACGCUUUGAACCAGGUGAAGCAUUCAUGUAUUUGUUCAUUAGUACCCAAAAUGUUGGCUUCGCCUCGGUCGGGGCCCCUUAUGGGGUCUGCUCGUCACAGCUAUUAGGUUUCACCUCCUCAGUUCAUCAUCAAUGAAUCUGUUAAUCUGGAGUCUGACCGGCCCUUGUUUGUUCCUUUAGGAACCAGUUUGACUAUAGAACCCUUAAUGCUUUGCUCGCUGCCACCGAGGAGGCCUCUUACGUUACACGUCAGCUGGAAGAUUGGACGACUCUGGAGCACUUUGAAGAAUUCGUUGUGGACGUUUUGCAGCCAGAAGCCACAUCUACGGCUCAGACGGUUCUCCUGGUUGUCACUGCCUUCACCAUCUGCUGGAUGCCCCACCACAUCAUCGCCAUGUGGGUGGAGUUCGGCACCUUUCCCCUGAAUGACGCCACUUUUGCCUUUCGUAUCAUUUCCCACUGCCUUUCUUAUGGAAACUCCUGCGUCAACCCCGUCCUCUACGCCUUCCUGUCCGAGAACUUCCGCAAGGCCUGUCGCCAGGUCUUCACCUGCAGCUUCCUGCACCCGCCCCCAUCCACGGGAACGCUGGUCCGUUUACGCAUGGAGAACUUCUCCACCACACACUCAACCACCCCGAUCUGAAGGGAGGACGUAAUCAGAUACAUAAUGGAAACAAGCAUAUAUCUUCUUACAGCAGGAUCUUUGUCACAUGACAACACAACGGCUUUGAUUGGCUGCCAAACGUUUCAUUAUUGACAGAAUUACUUAAUGAACAGAAAAGAAAACUGCAAACUUGGAUGAAUAAAAUAAUCGUCUUCUAGAUUUUAUAUAGAAACAAAACACAAGCCUGGUUUUCAGCAAUGUGACUGAACAUUUAAAGAAAUACAAUAACAAUUGUUGUUCUCUUUUUAGAAAUGAAAGAUGAAAGUUGCUAUAUCGUCAUUACCGUUCAGCUUGAUAAUAAUCUACGCCCGUGGAAACAGAGGGUUCAGCAUGUAUUUCACUCUUCAAAAAUAUUUGUAAUAUAUUUAAUUUAUUGUUUUUUUCAAAUGUUGGUUUGUGUGUUUGAGAGUAGGUGUUUUCCCCCCAAUGAAAGAGAAACUCUGCAGGUGAUAUUUUCCCCUCAACGCUCCCCGGUUGAGCCAUUCUGGUCACUCACACAGCUCCUGAACCCCAAUUAUCCCCCUGACAUCAAAUCAACAAAUUUAAACUAACAAUUCUAAACAUUCAUUUACAUUUCUAACUUAUGUCACGAGUCAGUAACAAUUUACUUUUAGGAGUGUUUUGGUACAUUCAAACAACAGAACUGUUUGAACAGAACAUUCAAACAACAGAACGGUUCUGUUGUACCUUAACAACAGAACCGUUACAUAAAUAGUGGUGAGAAUGUUAAUUUACAGGUUUUAUUAAUAGCCUGCUACACGUUUGAAUGUGGAUGCAGUGGGGGCUGCCACUAGGUGGCAUUGUUCACUUUCUUACCCAAACUGGGUGCGAGGAUCAUCGCCUCGUGAAGCCAUGAAGUGCCUGAGUAACGUUUUGCGGCUCCGUACGGGGAGCCCUAGGCGUUCCCUCUCCACACUACAUCUAGAGUCUGUUUGUUCCACGCCGGUGUGAAACCGUUGGACAGGACAUUUAUUAAAUGCUUGCAGCAUGGAGCAGAGUGGACGCCUGUACAAGACGUGCAUAAACGUGCAUAAAGACUACUCAAUAAUGUCGAGAGAAUAUGCCUUGAGAGGUCGCAUUGUCGUUCAUGAUUUGAAGAAGAUGGAGAAGUAAAACUUUUGUUUACCCUUUGGCAAUAAAACUUCACAACAUGACUUCCUUGGGAAAAUAUCCCGAUCCUGCUUCACAAAUCAUCUGUUUAUCUCAGGAACACCAUGUAUCGGAUCAGGAGGUCACGGACGCUUUGUCCACUUACAAUGAACCUUGUUCUAAUUUCCCCCAAAUAAUCCCUUAUGAUGUGCUCUUGGUCUACUCCUGGACCUCUUACCAGUUGGAGGGGUCUGUAUACCCUUUAAAUGGGAGGGGUAUUGAAGGAAGUCAGAUAUCUGGGAUCCUCACCCCCUCUUUAAGGCUGUGCUCCCUACAAAGGAAUGUCAGUUCAGAUAAUUGCAUCCUCAGCCUUUGUCUCACUAUCCAAGCUCAUGACCUUAGGUGAGGGUCUGAACCAAGACCGACUGGUAAAUCCACAGCUUCGUGUCUAUUCAACCUUUACUGGUGGACAAGAUCUGGAGACUCUUAAACUUGUUUGGGGCAGUGACUCAUUCCCAACCAGGAGGAACCACCGGUACCUUCAACUCGGACCUCAGGCUUGGAGGUACUGGUUCACCCGAAUGCAAACUGCUGGGCUGUACGCUGAAGGGUCUCUGAGUAAGUUGCAUAUUGAAAAACAAAAGGUUCAGGGUCUGCUCAUCGGCAGCGUAGGCGAUGCACAGAGCUGAGAGUUCCACAGCAGGGGGCGCCACAUGGUAGCACAAUGUCUUUUAGGGACACAGUGGUGGUCCUCUGCAGGGGUCUAGAUGUUGACGUGGAAGUAGCCUAGCAGCUACCUACAUGUCCUAAAGUGGUCCGUUUGCCACUUAUCUCAUAUGGUCGGAAUGAUACUUUAGUUACAUUUAUAUUGAUGAAUGUUAUUAUGAUUCAUUUGAUCUCAAUAAAAU